rnacentral:rRNA from 1 species
AUUGGACGCUGGCGGCAGGCCUAACACAUGCAAGUCGAGCGGAUGAAGGGAGCUUGCUCCUGGAUUCAGCGGCGGACGGGUGAGUAAUGCCUAGGAAUCUGCCUGGUAGUGGGGGAUAACGUCCGGAAACGGGCGCUAAUACCGCAUACGUCCUGAGGGAGAAAGUGGGGGAUCUUCGGACCUCACGCUAUCAGAUGAGCCUAGGUCGGAUUAGCUAGUUGGUGGGGUAAAGGCCUACCAAGGCGACGAUCCGUAACUGGUCUGAGAGGAUGAUCAGUCACACUGGAACUGAGACACGGUCCAGACUCCUACGGGAGGCAGCAGUGGGGAAUAUUGGACAAUGGGCGAAAGCCUGAUCCAGCCAUGCCGCGUGUGCGAAGAAGGUCUUCGGAUUGUAAAGCACUUUAAGUUGGGAGGAAGGGCAGUAAGUUAAUACCUUGCUGUUUUGACGUUACCAACAGAAUAAGCACCGGCUAACUUCGUG